UGGGGAAUUUUGGACAAUGGGCGAAAGCCUGAUCCAGCCAUGCCGCGUGAGUGAAGAAGGCCUUCGGGUUGUAAAGCUCUUUUAGUCGGAAAGAAAGAGGUGCAAUGAAUAAUUGUGAUUUAUGACGGUACCGACAGAAAAAGCACCGGCUAACUACGUGCCAGCAGCCGAGGUAAUACGUAGGGGGCGUGCGUUAAUCGGAAUUACUGGGCGUAAAGGGAGCGCAGGCGGUCUUGCAAGUCAGAUGUGAAAGCCCCGGGCUUAACCUGGGAAUUGCGUUUGAAACUACAAGGCUAGAGUGCAGCAGAGGGGAGUGGAAUUCCAUGUGUAGCAGUGAAAUGCGUAGAGAUGUGGAAGAACACCGAUGGCGAAGGCAGCUCCCUGGGUUGACACUGACGCUCAUGCACGAAAGCGUGGGGAGCAAACA
rnacentral:rRNA from 1 species